AAUGACAGAGACAGAGGAACAAGCUGGGAAGCUUGGCGAUACAGGGUGAUAGCCCCGUACUCGAAGUCCAGGUCAUGGUACUAAGCUAACGACAAGUAGGGCGGGACACGUGAUAUCCUGUUUGAAGAUGGGGGGACCAUCCUCCAAGGCUAAAUACUCCUGAUUGACCGAUAGUGAACCAGUACUGUGAAGGAAAGGCGAAAAGAACCCCGGUGAGGGGAGUGAAAUAGAACCUGAAACCUUGUACGUACAAGCAGUGGGAGCCCUUUAAGGGUGACUGCGUACCUUUUGUAUAAUGGGUCAGCGACUUAUAUUUUGUAGCGAGGUUAACUGAAUAAGGGAGCCGAAGGGAAACCGAGUCUUAACUGGGCGUCUAGUUGCAAGGUAUAGACCCGAAACCCGGUGAUCUAGCCAUGGGCAGGUUGAAGGUUGGGUAACACUAACUGGAGGACCGAACCGACUAAUGUUGAAAAAUUAGCGGAUGACUUGUGGCUGGGGGUGAAAGGCCAAUCAAACCGGGAGAUAGCUGGUUCUCCCCGAAAUCUAUUUAGGUAGAGCCUUGAGCGGACACCUUCGGGGGUAGAGCACUGUUUCGGCUAGGGGUCCAUCCCGGAUUACCAACCCGAUGCAAACUACGAAUACCGAAGAGUGAUACUCAGGAGACACACGGCGGGUGCUAACGUCCGUCGUGGAGAGGGAAACAACCCAGACCGCCAGCUAAGGUCCCAAAGUCUAUAUUAAGUGGGAAACGAAGUGGGAAGGCUUAGACAGCUAGGAUGUUGGCUUAGAAGCAGCCAUCAUUUAAAGAAAGCGUAAUAGCUCACUAGUCGAGUCGGCCUGCGCGGAAGAUGUAACGGGGCUCAAAUAUAGCACCGAAGCUGCGGCAUCAGUGGCAACACUGUUGGGUAGGGGAGCGUUCUGUAAGCGGAUGAAGGUGAAUCGAGAGGUUUGCUGGACGUAUCAGAAGUGCGAAUGCUGACAUAAGUAACGAUAAAACGGGUGAAAAACCCGUUCGCCGGAAGACCAAGGGUUCCUGUCCAACGUUAAUCGGGGCAGGGUGAGUCGGCCCCUAAGGCGAGGCUGAAAAGCGUAGUCGAUGGGAAACGGGUUAAUAUUCCCGUACUUGGAUAAACUGCGAUGUGGGGACGGAGCAGGUUAGGUUAUCGCACUGUUGGAUAUGUGCGUUUAAGUUGGUAGGUGGGAAGUUUAGGCAAAUCCGGACUUCCAUUCAACACUGAGAGAUGAUGACGAGGCUCUACGGAGCUGAAGUAACCGAUACCACACUUCCAGGAAAAGCCACUAAGCUUCAGGUUUAUCUAAACCGUACUGAAAACCGACACAGGUGGUCAGGUAGAGAAUACUCAGGCGCUUGAGAGAACUCGGGUGAAGGAACUAGGCAAAAUAGCACCGUAACUUCGGGAGAAGGUGCGCCGGCGUAGAUUGUAGUCCCUAGCGGGCGAAGGUUGAACCGGUCGAAGAUACCAGCUGGCUGCAACUGUUUAUUAAAAACACAGCACUCUGCAAACACGAAAGUGGACGUAUAGGGUGUGAUGCCUGCCCGGUGCUGGAAGGUUAAUUGAUGGUGUAAUCGAAAGAGAAGCUCCUGAUCGAAGCCCCAGUAAACGGCGGCCGUAACUAUAACGGUCCUAAGGUAGCGAAAUUCCUUGUCGGGUAAGUUCCGACCUGCACGAAUGGCAUAAUGAUGGCCAGGCUGUCUCCACCCGAGACUCAGUGAAAUUGAAAUCGCCGUGAAGAUGCGGUGUACCCGCGGCUAGACGGAAAGACCCCGUGAACCUUUACUAUAGCUUGACACUGAACAUUGAGCCUUGAUGUGUAGGAUAGGUGGGAGGCUUUGAAGCGUGG
rnacentral:rRNA from 1 species